rnacentral:rRNA from 1 species
CCCUUAGAUGUUCUGGGCUGCACGCGCGCUACACUGAUGCGCUCAACGAGUUUUAACCUUGCCUGGAAAGGUUGGGUAAUCUUUUUAAAACGCAUCGUGAUGGGGAUAGAUUAUUGCAAUUAUUAAUCUUCAACGAGGAAUUCCUUGUAAGCGCGGGUCAUCAUCCCGCGCUGAAUACGUCCCUGCCCUUUGUACACACCGCCCGUCGCUCCUACCGAUUGAGUGGUCCGGUGAGGCUUUGGGAUCUGAGCGGAAAGAGCGUUUCGCUGUUUCUGCUCGGAAAACUCAGUCGAACCUUAUCAUUUAGAGGAAGGAGAAGUCGUAACA